rnacentral:lncRNA from 1 species
GACGUGACAUUUAAAUUGGACGAUGGAGCCAUCAGUGCCCACAAGCCGCUGCUGAUCUGUAGCUGUGAGUGGAUGGCAGCCAUGUUCGGGGGGUCAUUUGUGGAAAGUGCCAACAGUGAGGUGUAUCUCCCGAACAUAAACAAGAUAUCAAUGCAAGCAGUAUUGGAUUAUCUCUAUACCAAGCAGUUGUCUCCUAACUUGGAUCUGGACCCGCUGGAAUUAAUUGCCUUGGCAAACAGAUUUUGCCUGCCACACUUGGUUGCACUUGCAGAUUUGUUCAGUUGGGAAGCUGAAGCAGGUCUGCAUAGGAUAUAUGAACUUAAAUGCCUUUCUCUGGAAUUCAGAUCUUCAGCCUCAUUCACUUUACACCAGAGGAGUUAAGUUGCAAGCUGGGUGUUUAUCACAAUGUUUAGUUGAUUCCUGUUAACCACCAAAGUAGAGAUAAACAGUGCCUGUCUUGUUCACUGGCCUUUCUUCUGAGUGCCUGAGCAUAUUAGCUUUCGAUAAAUAUUUGUUGAACAAUUGAAUGAAUGAAGAUGAAUGUAUGAACAAACCAACCAGUCCUAUCUGCACUUGACUUUCUGGCAAUGUCUUUAGAAAAAAUAAAAGAUUAAUUUCUCUGUCCUCCAGAUU